AGGAGAGUUUGAUCCUGGCUCAGGAUGAACGCUGGCGGCGUGCCUAACACAUGCAAGUCGAACGAAGCACUGGAAACGGAGAUUCGUCAAAGUUUCCUUUGACUUAGUGGCGGACGGGUGAGUAAUGCGUGAGCAACCUGCCUUUCAGAGGGGGACAACAGUUGGAAACGACUGCUAAUACCGCAUAAUGUAUUAUGGAGGCAUCUCCGAGAUACCAAAGGAGCAAUCCGCUGAAAGAUGGGCUCACGUCUGAUUAGCUAGUUGGUGAGGUAACGGCUCACCAAGGCUGCGAUCAGUAGCCGGACUGAGAGGUUGAACGGCCACAUUGGGACUGAGAUACGGCCCAGACUCCUACGGGAGGCAGCAGUGGGGAAUAUUGGGCAAUGGGCGAAAGCCUGACCCAGCAACGCCGCGUGAAGGAAGAAGGUCUUCGGAUUGUAAACUUCUUUUAUGAGGGACGAAGGACGUGACGGUACCUCAUGAAUAAGCCACGGCUAACUACGUGCCAGCAGCCGCGGUAAUACGUAGGUGGCGAGCGUUAUCCGGAUUUACUGGGUGUAAAGGGCGCGUAGGCGGGGAUGCAAGUCAGAUGUGAAAUCCAUGGGCUCAACCCAUGAACUGCAUUUGAAACUGUAUUUCUUGAGUGCUGGAGAGGUAGACGGAAUUCCUUGUGUAGCGGUGAAAUGCGUAGAUAUAAGGAAGAACACCAGUGGCGAAGGCGGUCUACUGGACAGUAACUGACGCUGAGGCGCGAAAGCGUGGGGAGCAAACAGGAUUAGAUACCCUGGUAGUCCCCU
rnacentral:rRNA from 1 species